UGCGCUGGCUUCUAGGAGCUUCCUACAUCC
rnacentral:piRNA from 1 species